UAGUCCUACGGGGCGCAGCAGUAGGGAAUCUUCCACAAUGGACGAAAGUCUGAUGGAGCAACGCCGCGUGAGUGAAGAAGGGUUUCGGCUCGUAAAGCUCUGUUGGUAGUGAAGAAAGAUAGAGGUAGUAACUGGCCUUUAUUUGACGGUAAUUACUUAGAAAGUCACGGCUAACUACGUGCCAGCAGCCGCGGUAAUACGUAGGUGGCAAGCGUUGUCCGGAUUUACUGGGUGUAAAGGGCGUGUAGCCGGGUUGACAAGUCAGAUGUGAAAUCCUGCGGCUUAACCGCAGAACUGCAUUUGAA
rnacentral:rRNA from 1 species